GAAGGCCCAGACAGCCAGGAUGUUGGCUUAGAAGCAGCCAUCAUUUAAAGAAAGCGUAAUAGCUCACUGGUCGAGUCGGCCUGCGCGGAAGAUGUAACGGGGCUAAACCAUGCACCGAAGCUGCGGCAGCGAACGUAUCACCCAAGACAACUUUACGGAGUUGACGAUUGACGGAGCGAAGCGACGUCAAAGCGUUCAUUAAAGUCGAGUUGGCUUAGGGAUACGUUCGUUGGGUAGGGGAGCGUUCUGUAAGCCUGUGAAGGUGUGUCGUGAGGCAUGCUGGAGGUAUCAGAAGUGCGAAUGCUGACAUAAGUAACGAUAAAGCGGGUGAAAAGCCCGCUCGCCGGAAGACCAAGGGUUCCUGUCCAACGUUAAUCGGGGCAGGGUGAGUCGACCCCUAAGGCGAGGCCGAAAGGCGUAGUCGAUGGGAAACGGGUUAAUAUUCCCGUACUUGGUGUUACUGCGAAGGGGGGACGGAGAAGGCUAUGUUGGCCGGGCGACGGUUGUCCCGGUUUAAGCGUGUAGGUGUGUGUUCCAGGUAAAUCCGGUUCACUU
rnacentral:rRNA from 1 species